AGACAAUCGAUUCAUUUUUGGAAGUGCGGGUUAAGCCCAUUCCAUUCACUCACGAGUCACGCCCGCCUCUCUCACGCAGCUCUCCCUCGCCUCCCUCACGCAGCUUUCUCUCGCCUCUCUCCGCCCCUCUCUCUCGCCUCUCUCUCUUCCUCGCAUCUCUCUCUCAUCACUCCUUCCUCGCAUCUCUCUCUUCUUUUUCUGCCUCUCCCCAGUCGCCUCCAUUGCUGCUCUCAGACAAGGGCGAUUCAGAGUUCAGACUCUCGCAUCUUCGACUCCGCAGAUUUCAAUAAGCUCCAUGUCCGACGCAUCUCAAGCAUUCACUUUACCAUUUGCAACGAUUUUGAAAUCUAAAAUUAUCUAAGCAUACAGUUUUAUUGAAUCAUAUAUCUUUGCUGUUGGGGUUUCAACUCUUCUGAACUGGGGAAUUUUCUUCAAGGAGAUAAUUUUAGGUUUGGCUCUGGGCAUUCACAAGCUUUUAAAUUGGCAGUCUCAAGCUUAUUGGUGUAAUUUUUGGUCAGUCUGAAAAGCCAUAUAAGUUAGGUGUGUGUCUUUCAGACGUUCAAAAAUAUCUGCUAAAACAGGAGAAGUUUCGGCUGCAAUCAUAGUUACAAGGUAAAGGUGGAAGAUAUUGUUCAGAGUGCUGGCUCUAAUUUUUUGUGAAGAUAUUUUUAUUCCCUGAGACCGGCUUGGAAAGUGGAGUUGGUCAUGCUGGAGGAGUGGGAGGCUAGUAAUAGUUUGAAAUCUUGACGACGAGUUAAGUGCCAUGUCGGUUAUGUGCCAUCUGGACAACGAGUGGUAGGCCUAAGCAAGCUCUCUUGGGUUGCUGAUGUUUUUGCAAGAAGGUUUGAAGAUCCAUCACUGACAGAUGAUGUCUGUUCAGCUCUACAUUAUAGAAAAAUGCCUAUAGGUCUUGCGGGUCUUCGGUGUUCUCAUUUUCACUUCACAAAUUUUGCAUUUUACAUGUAAAUUAUGGACAACUAGUAGCGGCCGAAGUUUGGAUUUUAUUUGUAAAUUUUUAAUAUUUAUUAUAGUUGAUUUAGGUACUA